AUCACUUUUCGGCCUUUUGGCUAAGAUCAAGUUUAGUAUCUGUUCUUAUCAGUAAAAACGUUGGCCACUUAUUAACUUAUAGGUAAGAACAAGUGUCCCAUUUGAAGAUGAAGUGACCUAUCUAAAGUCAGGAAUAUUAUUUCAUUACACAGCAAAAGCUCUAUUCCAACAUAC
rnacentral:snRNA from 1 species